GAUGAAGAACGUAGCGAAAUGCGAUACUUGGUGUGAAUUGCAGAAUCCCGUGAACCAUCGAGUCUUUGAACGCAAGUUGCGCCCGAAGCCAUCAGGUUGAGGGCACGUCUGCCUGGGCGUCACAUAUCGUUGCCCAAUGCCUAUUGCAGUGCAAUAGGAAUUUCUAGGGCGAAUGAUGGCUUCCCGUGAGCGUUGUUGCCUCGCGGUUGGUUGAAAAUCGAGUCCUUGGUAGGGUGUGCCAUGGUAGAUGGUGGUCGAGUUAGAACGAUACCGAUCAUGUGCAUGCUCCCCAAAAUAUGGCCUCUAUGACCCACACGCGUCUUUGGACGCUCAUGACGAGACCUCAGGUCAGGCGGGGCUACCCGCUGAAUUUAAGCAUAUCAAUAAGCGGAGGA
rnacentral:misc_RNA from 1 species